rnacentral:lncRNA from 1 species
CGGUUGAACAGCGAAAUACAAAAAGAAAAGAAGGUGGGGUCUCCGUUUCCAUUAUGCAUUCCCUCUCCGUGUUCGAAUUUUUGACUCAGUGUCUCGUUCUUUGAGGAACCCAUUUUGCUAUGAGCAAAGUUCCGAUGAUCAUCUAGUCUGUUUUUCUUGGCCAGCCUUCUUUGUUUGAUUUCUUGCACCUCGUUUUUAGGUGUUGAUACCCUUGUUUGUCUUAGAGAUCUUGUUUUUCCCCUGACCGAUGAUCUCGGUCGAGGAAGUGACACGAAUUUUGCUCUUGACGAGCAGCGUCCUUCCGAUGAUCUAAGAGGAAGCCAUGAGGCGAGCAAUAUUUUGGGUUUUUUUUUUUGUUGUUUGUUUCAUCCUUCCUUGAUCCGGUGCAAAAGAAAAAACCAACAGAUUUGUUUCUCUUUUGUUUUUUGCAUGGUCAACAGAUUUGUUUCUCGCGCACAGUAAUUUUGAGUCGUACCAUUCUUGAUCCGGUGCUUCUUUUUUUCAUGACGCCCCGAUCUCACUUUGGAACGACAGAAGAUGGCUUUUCGGUUCUUAUUUCUUCCGGUGACAAAUGAUUCCAUCAACUGAACAAGACCACAAUUUUGCUCUUGAGGAGCAGUGUGCCCCCGAUGGUUUCAGAGGAAGAACUCAAACGUCGGUUUUUAGCGACCAAGUUUUUGGGUUCAGUCUUCUUUUCGUCUAGAACGGAUUGCUUACCAGCUAGUCCUUGCGUCUUUGUGAUAUACGAGGUCGAGUGGGCCAGAUUUCGCUGCCAACCACUGCUAUGGGAUUCGCGCCCGUGUUUUGAGUCGUUCCAUUCCUGCUCUUGUGAUUCGCCUGAUUUUUGGUUGUCUGCGGUCGGAAAACACUUGGCUUUGUGGUUCAGUCAAAAACACGAGGUUUACCUAUUUUGCAAAAAGAAAUAGUAGGAGAAUUGCUUACUUUAAUUUUUUACUUUUUUGCAUCUCCUUUUUAGGUUGUUUCGUUGCACCUGGAAACAAGUUACAUGGUUCACGGUUUUCUGCUUGAUUUUUUAUGUUGCUCUUACCAGACCGAGUGAAUUCACGAACCAACUGUGGAUUUGUUGGUCAAACGAGUGUUUUUCUCUUCUUUUUUGUUGCAUUAUUAUUUGGUUUGGUUAUUCCGUGAUUUCGAUUUAAUCUUUAAGUUUCGAUUGGCUUUUAAUACAUCUUUUGUUCUAUUAUAUCUUCCAGAUGAAGAAGGCGGCAGAUGCCGGUGCGAAGUUUGCCCGUGAGAACAGUAACACCAUAAAAGAUACCGUCAAGAACCACCUGCCUGGAGGAGACGCCCCAAAGCCGACCGAGGACACCGGCGCACCGGCGCAACGCCUCCCCAUCACCAACCGCCCGCCCCCGACCCCGCCCCCGCCCCCUCACGCCGACCUUCCCAGCACAAGGCUCAGGAACUGGGUCUACACGGAGGUCGCUCCAAGUGUGGAUCUUGUUCAUGUUGGCGAGGCGGCGGCUGUCGCUGUGGCCGUGGGGGUGGCGAUCUGGUGGCUGAAUGGGGGAUUCUAGAAGUAUCGGCUCGGAAUGAACAAAGCUAGCUGUUUGAGCUUAAGACCCUGCCCUGCUUGGGUGAAAGCAGCCUAUCUUCAUUUUACUGUUUGUUAAGUUAAGCAUCCCAUCGUCGUUCUGUAGUAAAGUAGACUGAAGGUUGGGACUAUGUAAGCAGUAAGCGAAUAUGAAUAUGUAAGCAAGUAAGCCUACUAUGAUGAUAUAUCUAUGUAAUCCGUAAGCGAAUGAAUAUGAAGGUCGGGUCGCAUCUUUGUCUAUCAUCUCUUGUUCAGC